GCUUGACGUAGCUGAGAGGAGGUGCAUGGCCGUCGUCAGUUCGUACUGUGAAGCAUCCUGUUAAGUCAGGCAACGAGCGAGACCCACGCCAACAGUUGCCAGCAUGUCCUCCGGGGAUGAUGGGGACACUGUUGGGACCGCCUCUGCUAAAGAGGAGGAAGGAAUGGGCAACGGUAGGUCAGCAUGCCCCGAAUUAUCCGGGCUACACGCGGGCUACAAUGGUCAGGACAAUGGGUAUCAACACCGAAAGGUGAAGGCAAUCUCCUAAACCUGUCCUUAGUUCGGAUUGUGGGCUGCAACUCGCCCACAUGAAGCUGGAAUCUGUAGUAAUCGCGUCUCAAAAUGGCGCGGUGAAUAUGUCCCUGCUCCUU
rnacentral:rRNA from 1 species